CUACUGCAGCCCACUGACUUAUCCAAUUUCAUGUUCAUCGUGAUAUCCUUGCAAGAUUAAUAGUAAUUCUUAUCUUUGGGUUGCAUGAUGAGCUUGUAGGUCAGAUUCUUUAUUUGUAGCGAUGUACAUGGUUCUGAAUAAUGCAAUUUCUGUGUACUAGAAGAUAUGCAUUUCUUGACAGGGUCCUGAUGCAUUCCCUGACAUGGACCAGCUGCCUAUUUUUAAUAGAGCAUUGUUGAUGGUUUUUAGUCCUAUGAUGCUUGAACUCCAGCAUUGUGGAUACUUGUUAGUCAAAUAUAUUUGGAUAGGGCUUCUCACAUAAUAUGGCAUUGAGGCAUGUAAAUAAUAAAUGAGUUUUGCCCAACCAGUUAGUUCUAUUAAUGCUCUGCAAUUACUCAAUGGUUGUAGUGCUUUCAGAUGAUCGGUUACUUUUCCUUGCAGAACGGUGGUGUGAUAUGUUCUCAGUUUGUGUACUCCACCUAGGAUUAAACUGCAGAGGCUGCUGCAUCUUGAAUAAUGUAUGCCACGGUGCAGUACAACCCACUCUAGCAGCGGCACUCCUUCGUUUGUUAGUCACAGCAUGAGUACUUUUGUCUAUAUUGACUUGAUAUGGCGGAGACUCCUGUGACUCUUGGAAGUACUUGAUGUUGUGACAUCAUCAAAUUACCUCGGACAUUAAUUCUCACAUUGGCUUCUUAGGGUGGCUUCAAAAAUCUAUGGGGUGCAAAGAAGUGCUAGGUCUAGGUCCAUAAAAGAAGAGAUCCUUGGUAGGAAGUCGAGAUCUCCAUGAGCCCAAUGGCAUAGUAUGCUAUCCAAUGAAGCUGAUUCAGCCUGAACUACUCAGGCUUAUUCUCUUCACUUUAUCAGGUUAUUUUCAAAGGUUGCAGCCAAGCACAUUAUCACCUUAUGUUCUAGAGACUUUUUGGGAGGUGACGGAGUAGAAUGUUCUUGCUAAUCAGCUUCUUGGGAAGGUUUGGUUUUGUGCUCAUGAACCAUUAGAUGAUGUCCUGAACAUCUGCUGCAAAGUAGUUCCAGUAACCUGAUGCCGAGUAGUACCAACGGGUAUUCCAGGUACUCGUGCUCUUGUACCCAUCCUAACACAACAACACUAAAUUAGUUUUAGUUCUUUGUGUAAGCCUGUGUCAUAAAAUAGAUUAUAUACUUCAGCUUUGCA